rnacentral:rRNA from 1 species
AUGAACGCUGGCGGCGUGCCUAAUACAUGCAAGUCGAGCGAACAGACGAGGAGCUUGCUCCUCUGACGUUAGCGGCGGACGGGUGAGUAACACGUGGAUAACCUACCUAUAAGACUGGGAUAACUUCGGGAAACCGGAGCUAAUACCGGAUAAUAUAUUGAACCGCAUGGUUCAAUAGUGAAAGACGGUUUUGCUGUCACUUAUAGAUGGAUCCGCGCCGCAUUAGCUAGUUGGUAAGGUAACGGCUUACCAAGGCAACGAUGCGUAGCCGACCUGAGAGGGUGAUCGGCCACACUGGAACUGAGACACGGUCCAGACUCCUACGGGAGGCAGCAGUAGGGAAUAUUCCGCAAUGGGCGAAAGCCUGACGGAGCAACGCCGCGUGAGUGAUGAAGGUCUUCGGAUCGUAAAACUCUGUUAUUAGGGAAGAACAAAUGUGUAAGUAACUAUGCACGUCUUGACGGUACCUAAUCAGAAAGCCACGGCUAACUACGUG